rnacentral:lncRNA from 1 species
AAACAUCUGGAUCAAGACCUGACAGAACUCAGAAAAACACAAGAAGAGAUGAGAAACUUCUGAUUACUGACGAUCAGAUACACUGUCUGAAGGUGAUGAAAGUCCUUUAAUAAUCAUGCAGGAUAUAACAGGGGGCUCACCAAUCAUUGUUCUGUGCUUUUUCUAUUUCUUUUAUUUAGUGGAAACAGUCACUUAUGUGCCACAAAGUAAGUUUUUAAUUAUUAUUGUGAUUUCAGAGCUGUCCGUCUGUGUGUGUCUUACCCUCAUAUGAAAGACGUUCCCAGCUGCACUCAACACACUCAUCUGUCUUUUAAAGACAUUUCAAUCUCAGCAUUCAGAGAGUUUUGGAAGACGUCUGUCAACAACAAACAGCCAAAAUAUCUCGAGAAGUGUCAAAUGUCCAUGUUGCAAAGCUUCCAGAACCGAAGAUUCAAAAUGAUUUUUUGCAGUAUUUCUGUCAGCUUCACCUGGAUCCAAACACUGCACACAAAAAUAUCAUCUUGUCAGAAGACAACAGGAAAAUAACAUGUUCAAAUGUAGUCCAGCAAUAUCCUGAUCACCCAGAGCGAUUUGAUGAAUAUUGUAAUGUCCUCUGUAGAGAGGGUUUGUGCGGUCGCUGUUUACUGGGAGGUUGAGUGCUGUGGAACGACUGGGCUGUAGCAGUUUGUUACAAAGGAAUUGGACGUAAAGGAAAAAGUGAUGACUGUAAACUUGGCUUCAACAAAACAUCCUGGCGUUUGGCUAUUAUAAACAGAGUUUUGGUUUCACACAUGAUAAAGCAAAGGUCAGUGUCCCUGCCUGCCUCUAGAAUAGGGAGUGUAUCUGGAUCAGAGAGGCAGGAACUCUGUGCUUCUACAGCGUCUCUGACACAAUGACUCUCCUACACAGAGUCAAGACCACAUUCACUGAACCCCUCUACCUUGCUUUUUGGGGUUGGAGAUUGUUCAAUUAUCAAGAUAAUACAACAUGUGAAAGUUCACAUUGACCAGUAAUAGACUGAUCAAAAAUAAAUUAUUAAAAACAUGCUGUUUAAGGGGUUAAUUAUUCUCAUAUAAAAAUCAGUGUGCAUAUUGGUUUCUGUUAUAUUUAGAGACCCUUUGAUUGAGAAGCCAUUAGUGAGUGGAGACAGAGGUAUUGCGUAAGUUUUUGCUUAAUACCUUAUUUCUGUUUCUAUUGUUUAUAUAUAUUGAUGACCUGUUUUGUGUUUCUUUGUUCCAUGUAGUCCAUGUACUAGUUCUUCCAUGUAGUUCCUGUCUGUCCUUAUUUGGUUAUUCCUGUUCCCUGUCCUCAUUUAUUUCUAUUUAGUUCAGGUGGUUUCUCAUUAUUAGUUACCCUCCCUUAGCUGUCUGCCCCUCGUUAUCUGCCCUAUUUAGUCCGAACCCGUUCUGUUCUCCCUUGUCUGGAAUCGUUCAUGUCUACCUUUGCUACAUGUUUUCCCUGUUUCCUUUGAUAGUAUUGAAAGUCUGUAUGUUUUGAAUUGGACUCUUGCGUCUCAUUUGU